rnacentral:rRNA from 1 species
GACGAACGCUGGCGGCGUGCUUAACACAUUGCAAGUCGAACGAUGAAGCCUAGCUUGCUAGGUGGAUUAGUGGCGAACGGGUGAGUAAUACGUGAGUGACCUACCUUUGACUCUGGGAUAAGCCUGGGAAACUGGGUCUAAUACCGGAUACGACCAAUCUCCGCAUGGGGUGUUGGUGGAAAGCGUUAUGGAGUGGUUUUAGAUGGGCUCACGGCCUAUCAGCUUGUUGGUGAGGUAAUGGCUUACCAAGGCGACGACGGGUAGCCGGCCUGAGAGGGUGACCGGCCACACUGGGACUGAGACACGGCCCAGACUCCUACGGGAGGCAGCAGUGGGGAAUAUUGCACAAUGGGCGCAAGCCUGAUGCAGCGACGCCGCGUGAGGGAUGACGGCCUUCGGGUUGUAAACCUCUGUUAGUAUCGAAG